rnacentral:tmRNA from 1 species
GGGUCCGACCGGUUUUGACAGUAAGCGCAUUAGAUGAGUAAGCACGUAGAGCGUUGUAAGACGAGCUCUUUAAACUGAACUUUCAAAACUUUUAUUUGGCGAAGGUAACACUUACGCUAUGGCAGCUUAAUCUAGGAUUAACCAGCCUUUGCUUUCCGGGGAGCUAAACUGCUCUGCGCCCUGGGUCUAGCAUCAUAAAUGUGUAGUUUGUUUUAUGGAUGUUGCUACAUAAAACAAUAUCAGCAACUAAGUUGAAGUUUGGUACGAAUUAACGCCUGGCUUCGAUCGAAAAUCAAGUUAAUACUAAACGUGUAGAAAGCUUAUUUAUUCCUUAUUUGGACGAGAGUUCGAAUCUCUCCGGAUCCACGA